rnacentral:tRNA from 1 species
GGCGGAAUAGCUCAGUUGGCCAGAGCACUCGGUUCAUACCCGGGGUGUCGAGAGUUCGAAUCUCCCUUCCGCUA